UGCGGAGGGAUCAUUACCGAGUUUACAACUCCCAAACCCCUGUGAACAUACCUUAUGUUGCCUCGGCGGAUCAGCCCGCGCCCCGUAAAAAGGGACGGCCCGCCGCAGGAACCCUAAACUCUGUUUUUAGUGGAACUUCUGAGUAUAAAAAACAAAUAAAUCAAAACUUUCAACAACGGAUCUCUUGGUUCUGGCAUCGAUGAAGAACGCAGCAAAAUGCGAUAAGUAAUGUGAAUUGCAGAAUUCAGUGAAUCAUCGAAUCUUUGAACGCACAUUGCGCCCGCCAGUAUUCUGGCGGGCAUGCCUGUUCGAGCGUCAUUUCAACCCUCAAGCCCAGCUUGGUGUUGGGAGCUGCAGUCCUGCUGCACUCCCCAAAUACAUUGGCGGUCACGUCGAGCUUCCAUAGCGUAGUAAUUUACACAUCGUUACUGGUAAUCGUCGCGGCCACGCCGUUAAACCCCAACUUCUGAAUGUUGACCUCGGAUCAGGUAGGAAUACCCGCUGAACUUAAGCAUAUCAAUAA
rnacentral:rRNA from 1 species